UGAGGAAUAUUGCGCAAUGGGGGAAACCCUGACGCAGCGACGCCGCGUGAGUGAGGAAGGCCUUCGGGUCGUAAAGCUCUGUCAGAGGGAAAGAAGUGCAUGGUGGCUAAUACCUGCUAUGUUUGACGUUACCCUUAAAGGAAGCACCGGCUAACUCCGUGCCAGCAGCCGCGGUAAUACGGAGGGUGCAAGCGUUGUUCGGAAUCACUGGGCGUAAAGGGCGCGUAGGCGGUUUGGUAAGUUAGAUGUGAAAGCCCACGGCUUAACCGUGGAAGUGCAUUUGAUACUGCUAGGCUUGAGUACCAUAGGGGAAAGUGGAAUUCCCGGUGUAGCGGUGAAAUUCGUAGAUAUCGGGAGGAAUACCGGUGGCGAAGGCGACCUUCUGGAUGAGUACUGACGCUGAGGCGCGAAAGCGUGGGGAGCAAACA
rnacentral:rRNA from 1 species